AUUGAACGCUGGCGGCAUGCCUUACACAUGCAAGUCGAACGGCAGCACAGUAAGAGCUUGCUCUGAUGGGUGGCGAUUGGCGGACGGGUGAGGAAUACAUCGGAAUCUACUCUUUCGUGGGGGAUAACGUAGGGAAACUUACGCUCAUACCGCAUACGACCUACGGGUGAAAGUGGAGGAUCUUCGGUAGUCGGGCGAUUGACUGAGCAGAUGUCGGAUUAGCUAGGUGGCGGGGUAAAGGCCCACCAAGGCGACGAUCCGUAGCUGGUCUGAGAGGAUGAUCAGCCACACUGGAACUGAGACACGGUCCAGACGCCUACGGGAGGCAGCAGUGGGGAAUAUUGGACAAUGGGCGCAAGCCUGAUCCAGCCAUGCCGCAUGGGUGAAGAAGGCCUUCGGGUUGUAAAGCCCUUUUGUGGGGAAAGAAAAGCAGUCGGUUAAUACCCGAUUGUUCUGACGGUACCCAAAGAAUAAGCACCGGCUAACUUCGUGCCAGCCGCCGCCGUAAAAC
rnacentral:rRNA from 1 species